UGUUUUUUGUGUUUUGGUCUGCUUUUCUUACUGGAUGCAAUAGGUCUUAUAUAUUUGGUGUAUGGAAUGAUUGCAAGGUGUACAUGUCUAGUGGGGUGAUGAUCUCAUUUUUAUAGUUCAGUGGUGAAAGUUAAGUUUGAGUUUUGGUCUUUUUUUCUAAUACUUUAUGCAAUAGGUCAACUAUAUUUGGUGUAUGGAAAUAUUAUCUGUUCUAUGUGUCAGUUGCACAGGUUUUAUUUGACCUUGACCUCAUUUUCACGGUCCAUUGCUCAGUGCCAAGUUUUUGUGUUUUGGUCUCUAUUUCGUAAACUAUAAGCAAUAGGUCAACUAUUUUUGUUGUAUGGAAGAAUUGAUAGCUUUACAGGUCUGCCUGGCAUGGUUCAUUGGUCAAUGUUUAGUUUUCUUGGUUAAUGUAAGUUUAUAUGACAGUUGUAAUAAAAGCUUUAUAUUAAGGACUGUCAACAAUGGUCAACAUAACAUCAAUAAUUAGUAAAGAAGGCAAGACAUUUCAGUGUGUGAAGUAGAAGUUCUCUGGCUUAUACCAUUGUAUACAGGACAUUGAGACAAUU
rnacentral:lncRNA from 1 species